rnacentral:rRNA from 1 species
AGUUUCCUACGGGGCGCAGCAGUGAGGAAUAUUGGUCAAUGGGCGGGAGCCUGAACCAGCCAAGUCGCGUGAGGGAAGACGGUCCUACGGAUUGUAAACCUCUUUUGCCGGGGAGCAACGGGGUCCUUGCGAGGGCCCGAUGAGAGUACCCGGAGAAAAAGCAUCGGCUAACUCCGUGCCAGCAGCCGCGGUAAUACGGAGGAUGCGAGCGUUAUCCGGCCUUAUUGGGUUUAAAGAGUGCGUAGGCGGGCUGUUAAGUCAGCGGUCAAAUGUCGGGGGUCAAGCCCGGCCUGCCGUUGAAACUG